GACGAACGCUGGCGGCGUGCUUAACACAUGCAAGUCGAACGGAAAGGCCCUGCUUUUGUGGGGUGCUCGAGUGGCGAACGGAUGAGUAACACGUGAGUAACCUGCCCUUGACUUUGGGAUAACUUCAGGAAACUGGGGCUAAUACCGGAUAGGAGCUCCUGCUGCAUGGUGGGGGUUGGAAAGUUUCGGCGGUUGGGGAUGGACUCGCGGCUUAUCAGCUUGUUGGGGGGGUAGUGGCUUACCAAGCCUUGGCCGGGUAGCCGGCCUGGGAGGGUGACCGGCCACAUUGGGACUGAGAUACGGCCCAGACUCCUCCGGGAGGCAGCAGUGGGGAAUAUUGCACAAUGGGCGGAAGCCUGAUGCAGCAACGCCGCGUGCGGGAUGACGGCCUUCGGGUUGUAAACCGCUUUCGCCUGUGACGAAGCGUGAGUGACGGUAAUGGGUAAAGAAGCACCGGCUAACUACGUG
rnacentral:rRNA from 1 species